rnacentral:rRNA from 1 species
UUCCAGACCCCUACGGGAGGCAGCAGUGGGGAAUAUUGCACAAUGGGGGAAACCCUGAUGCAGCGACGCCGCGUGAGUGAAGAAGUAUUUCGGUAUGUAAAGCUCUAUCAGCAGGGAAGAAAAUGACGGUACCUGACUAAGAAGCCCCGGCUAACUACGUGCCAGCAGCCGCGGUAAUACGUAGGGGGCAAGCGUUAUCCGGAUUUACUGGGUGUAAAGGGAGCGUAGACGGCAUGGCAAGUCAGAUGUGAAAGCCCGGGGCUCAACCCCGGGACUGCAUUUGAAACUGUCAGGCUGGAGUGCAGGAGAGGUAAGUGGAAUUCCUAGUGUAGCGGUGAAAUGCGUAGAUAUUAGGAGGAACACCAGUGGCGAAGGCGGCUUACUGGACUGUAACUGACGUUGAGGCUCGAAAGCGUGGGGAGCAAACAGGAUUAGAUACCCCAGUAGAC